AUUGAACGCUGGCGGCAGGCCUAACACAUGCAAGUCGAGCGGAGCGGCGGACGGGCGAGUAAUGACUAGGAAUCUGCCUGGCCGUGGGGGAUAACGUCCGGCAACGGGCGCUAAUACCGCAUACUAUCAGAUGAGCCUAGGUCGGAUUAGCUAGUUGGUGGGGUAACGGCCUACCAAGGCGACGAUCCGUAACUGGUCUGAGAGGAUGAACAGUCAAACUGGAACUGAGACACGGUCCAGACUCCUACGGGAGGCAGCAGUGGGGAAUAUUGGAAAAUGGGCGAAAGCCUGAUCCAGCCAUGCCGCGUGUGUGAAGAAGGUCUUCGGAGUGUAAAGCACUUUAAGUUGGGAGGCGUUACCCACAGAAUAAGCACCGGCUAACUUCGUGCCAGCAGCCGCGGUAAUUC
rnacentral:rRNA from 1 species